GACGAACGCUGGCGACGUGCUUAACACAUGCAAGUCGAACGGUAAGGCCCUUCGGGGUACACGAGUGGCGAACGGGUGAGUAACACGUAGGUGAUCUACCCUGCACUUCGGGAUAAGCCUGGGAAACUGGGUCUAAUACCGGAUAGGACCAUGGGAUGCAUGUCCUGGGGUGGACAGCUUUUGCGGUGUGGGAUGGGCCCGCGGCCUAGCAGCUUGUUGGUGGGGUGAUGGCCUACCAAGGCGACGACGGGUAGCCGGCCUGAGAGGGUGACCGGCCACACUGGGACUGAGAUACGGCCCAGACUCCUACGGGGGGCAGCAGUGGGGAAUAUUGCACAAUGGGCGCAAGCCUGAUGCAGCAACGCCGCGUGAGGGAUGACGGCCUUCGGGUUGUAAACCUCUUUCAGCACCGACGAAGCGCAAGUGACGGUAGGUGCAGAAGAAGGACCGGCCAACUACGUGCCAGCAGCCGCCGUAA
rnacentral:rRNA from 1 species